rnacentral:rRNA from 1 species
AUUGAACGCUGGCGGCAGGCCUAACACAUGCAAGUCGAGCGAGUGGCGGCCGGGUGAGUAAUGUAUGGGCAUCUGCCUGAUGGAGGGGGAUAACAACGGGACACGGUUGCUAAUACCGCAUACUAUAGGAUGAACCCGCGUGGGAUUAUGUAGUAGGUGGGGUAAAGGCCUACCAAGCCGACGACCUCUAGCUGGUCUGAGAGGAUGAUCAGCCACACUGGGACUGAGACACGGCCCAGACUCCUACGGUAGGCAGCAGUGGGGAAUAUUGGAAAAUGGGCGCAAGCCUGAUGCAGCCAUGCCGCGUGUAUGAAGAAGGCCUUAGGGUUGUAAAGUACUUUCAGCGGGGAGGCGUUACCCACAGAAGAAGCACCGGCUAACUCCGUGCCAGCAGCCGCGGUAAUAC